AUCUUCCGCGAUGUACGAAAGUCUGACGGAGCAACGCCGCGUGAGUGGUGAAUGUNUUNNGAUCGNANAACCCUGUUGUUAGGNNNNNACAAGUAUCGGAGUCACUGCCGGUACCUUGACUGUCCCUGACGAGACAUCCACGGCUAACGACCUUCCAGCAGCCGCGGUAAUCCGGAGGGGGCAAGCGUUGGCCGGAUUUAUUGGGCGUAAAGGGCGGGGAGGGGGUCUUUUAAGUCUGAUGUGAAAUCUUACAGCUUAACUGUAAGCGGUCAUUGGAAACUGGGAGACUUGAGUGCAGAAGAGGAGAGUGGAAUUCCAUGUGUAGCGGUGAAAUGCGUAGAGAUAUGGAGGAACACCAGUGGCGAAGGCGACUCUCUGGUCUGUAACUGACGCUGAGGCGCGAAAGCGUGGGGAUCAAACA
rnacentral:rRNA from 1 species